rfam:TPA: Bos taurus chromosome 2, whole genome shotgun sequence.
UCCCUGGUGGCCCAGUGGCUAAGACACUGCACUCCCAAUGGAGGGGCCCCAGGUUCAAUCCCUGGUCUGGGAA